rnacentral:rRNA from 1 species
AGGACGAACGCUGGCGGCGUGCUUAACACAUGCAAGUCGAGCGAACCUUCGGGUUAGCGGCGAACGGGUGAGUAACACGUGGGCAACCUGCCCCGAGCUCUGGGAUAACUCCGGGAAACCGGGGCUAAUACCGGAUAUGACCCGAGAAGACAUCUUCUCGGGUGGAAAGUUUUUCGGCUCGGGAUGGGCCCGCGGCCUAUCAGCUUGUUGGUGGGGUAACGGUCUACCAAGGCGACGACGGGUAGCC